rnacentral:rRNA from 1 species
CGUGUAGGCGGUUGGUCAAGUCUGGUGUGAAAGCCCGGGGGCUUAGCCCCGGAAGUGCGCUGGAAACUAGCCAACUUGAGCGCGAUAGAGGAGGGUGGAAUUCCUGGUGUAGCGGUGAAAUGCGUAGAUAUCAGGAGGAACACCGGCGGCGAAGGCGGCCCUCUGGAUCGUUGCUGACGCUGAGACGCGAAAGCGUGGGGAGCAAACAGGAUUAGAUACCCUGGUAGUCCACGCUGUAAACUAUGGGUACUAGGUGUUCGGGGUGUUGACCCCCUGAGUGCCGACGCUAACGCAUUAAGUACCCCGCCUGGGGACUACGGCCGCAAGGCUAAA